rnacentral:tRNA from 1 species
GAGAGAUUAGUUAAAUCAUAAUAUAAGAUUGUCAGUCUUACGUUGCUAGUAAAACUAGUAUUUCUUA